rnacentral:rRNA from 1 species
UAUGUGAUCGUCUCUCGCAUAUCAAUAAGCGGAGGAAAAGAAACUAACAAGGAUUCCCCUAGUAACGGCGAGUGAAGCGGGAAGAGCUCAAAUUUGAAAUCUUAAAGGGUUUCCCUUUACGAAUUGUAGUUUAAAGAAGUGUAUUCUGUUGAGGUUUUGGUAAAAGUUCUUUGGAAUAGGACAUCAUAGAGGGUGAGAAUCCCGUAUUUGACCUUUACUUUCAACUUUGUGAUACCACUUUCAAAGAGUCGGAUUGUUUGGGAAUGCAGUCCAAAAUGGGUGGUAAAUUUCAUCUAAAGCUAAAUAUUGGCGAGAGACCGAUAGCGAACAAGUACCGUGAGGGAAAGGAUGAAAAGAACUUUGAAAAGAGAGUUAAACAGUACGUGAAAUUGUCAAAAGGGAAGCGUUUGACACCAGUGUUGUUUUUCUGAAAAUCAAUUAAAGAACUGUUUAUGCUAAGUUGUUUAGACUUUAUCAGCUAUCUGUUUAGUUUUUGAGCUUUUCUUUAAUGCACUUUUCAGUUAACAAGUCAACAUCAAUUUCUUUUGCUGUAAAAAAGCUUGAGGAAGGUGGCUUGAGAUUCGUCUUAAGUGUUUAUAGCCUCUUGCCUAUGCAGUCGGAGAGAUUGAGGUCUGCAGCGUAGAUCCUUCGGGGCUAAAUGCAUUUGUGCUAAGUUAUAGCAUUUUAUAGACAACUUGUUGACUAUGAUUUGUCUUGUAGCUUACUCGCUUAUGUUAUUUUACCUACGCUUAGGAUGUUGAAGACUCUACAGAGAU